rnacentral:rRNA from 1 species
CCUACGGGAGGCAGCAGUAGGGAAUAUUGGGCAACACUUACAAGUGUGACCCAACCAUGCCGCGCGCAGGAAGAAGGCCUUGUGGGUUGUAAAAUGCUUUUGGAAUGGUACAAUACGGUCGUACGGGACAAUAAGAGUGUACCUUCAGAAUUAGCACCGGCUAACUCCGUGCCAGCAGCCGCGGUAAUACGGAGGGUGCAAGCGUUGUCCGGAUUUAUUGGGUUUAAAGGGUGCGUAGGCGGUUUAUUAAGUCAGGGGUGAAAGACUAAGGCUCAACAAUGGCAGGGCCUUGGAUACUGAUAGGCUUGAGUACAUUUGAGGCAGAUGGAACGGGUGGUGUAGCGAUGAAAUGCAUAGAUACCAUCCAGACCACCGAUUGCGAAGGCAGUCUUCUAAACUGUAACUGACGCUGAGGCACGAAAGCGUGGGGAUCGAACAGGAUUAGAUACCCUGGUAGUCCACGCCGUAAACGAUGAUGAGUCGAUGUUGGCCAUAUACUGUCGGUGCCGGAGCGAACGCGUUAAGUCAUCCGCCUGGGAGACCCGCAAGGGGG